GCGAGUCUUUCCUUGACAGAGAUGUCCGGGUAAUCUUGUUUAAACUGUGUCGUGCUGGGGGAUAGAGCAUUGCAAUUAUUGCUCUUCAACGAGGAAUCCCUAGUAAGCGCAAGUCAUCAGCUUGCGUUGAUUACGUCCCUGCCCUUUGUACACACCGCCCGUCGCUACUACCGAUUGGAUGGCUCAGUGAGACCUCCGGACUGGCCGAGAGAGGUGGGAAACUACCACUCAUGGCCGGAAAGUUGUUCAAACUCGGUCAUCUAGAGGAAGUAAAAGUCGUAACAAGGUCUCCGUUGGUGAACCAGCGGAGGGAUCAUUA
rnacentral:rRNA from 1 species